rfam:Schistosoma curassoni strain Dakar, Senegal genome assembly, scaffold: SCTD_scaffold0000374
AUCCAGCUGACGAGUCCUAAAUAGAACGAAACGUACACCCUGGAU